rnacentral:rRNA from 1 species
AGCGAACGCUGGCGGCAGGCCUAACACAUGCAAGUCGAGCGAGCCCUUCGGGGCUAGCGGCGGACGGGUGAGUAACGCGUGGGAACGUGCCCUUCUCUACGGAAUAGCCUCGGGAAACUGAGGGUAAUACCGUAUACGCCCUUCGGGGGAAAGAUUUAUCGGAGAAGGAUCGGCCCGCGUUGGAUUAGGUAGUCGGUGGGGUAAUGGCCUACCAAGCCGACGAUCCAUAGCUGGUUUGAGAGGAUGAUCAGCCACACUGGGACUGAGACACGGCCCAGACUCCUACGGGAGGCAGCAGUGGGGAAUCUUAGACAAUGGGGGAAACCCUGAUCUAGCCAUGCCGCGUGAGUGACGAAGGCCCUAGGGUCGUAAAGCUCUUUCGCUGGGGAAGAUAAUGACGGUACCCAGUAAAGAAACCCCGGCUAACUCCGUGCCAGCCGCCGCGGUAAGAC